UAUAUGGUGUCUAUUUGUUUUAAGUUCAGAAUAUUAAAGUUAGAUAAUGACAGUGAUUAUGAGUUAUAUAUAUUGAGGCAAUUUUUGGAAAUAACGAUGAUGGUAGAAGUAGAGUAUGUGAAAGUGAAAUCAGUCAUAUACAAUGUCGGGAUGAUAGAGAAGGUGAUGGUGACGCUGGAGAUGGUAAUAGUGAUGUUAGAUAUCAUAGUGAUGAUGAAAAAGAAAGAAGCAAUGAUGAUUAUAUGGACUACUAGCUCAAGUGAUGACGGUAAAAAGAAGCUUUUUCGAGUGGGACAAUGUUUUUUAAGCAAAGAUUUGUUCAAACGUUGAUGACGUGUGUCUGCUGAUUGAUUCCAGGAAGCCAUGCUAAAGCCCGAGCUGCGUGAGAUGGAAAGGAAACAGGAGAGAGAAGCGUGUUGAUCGAUAUGGCGUACCUAAAAAACGUCAUUCUAAAGCUUCUGGAGACAGGUGAAGUGGAGGCUUUACUACCAGUUGUGGGAAUGUUGCUGCAGUUCAGUCCGGAAGAGAUGCAGAAAUGUGAACAAGCCUACCGCAGCGCCAUGGACGUGAGUCCACCAGGUUCAGCUACAGAUCGGUUC